CGCCUUAUACUCCUACGGGAGGCAGCAGUGGGGAAUAUUGCACAAUGGGCGCAAGCCUGAUGCAGCGACGCCGCGUGGGGGAUGAAGGCCUUCGGGUUGUAAACUCCUUUCGCUAGGGACGAAGCUUUGUGUGACGGUACCUAGAUAAGAAGCACCGGCUAACUACGUGCCAGCAGCCGCGGUAAUACGUAGGGUGCGAGCGUUGUCCGGAAUUACUGGGCGUAAAGGGCUCGUAGGUGGUUUGUCGCGUCGUCUGUGAAAUUCUGGGGCUUAACUCCGGGCGUGCAGGCGAUACGGGCAUAACUUGAGUGCUGUAGGGGUAACUGGAAUUCCUGGUGUAGCGGUGAAAUGCGCAGAUAUCAGGAGGAACACCGAUGGCGAAGGCAGGUUACUGGGCAGUUACUGACGCUGAGGAGCGAAAGCAUGGGUAGCGAACAGGAUUAGAAACCCCAGUAGUCCACGUACCA
rnacentral:rRNA from 1 species